GCUGGGUGUAGUGGGUGUUCACCUGUAUUCCCAGUUACUCAGGAGGCUGAGGUGGGAGGAUUGCUUGAGCCCAGGGGGGUGACGGUGCAGUAAGCAGUGAUUGUGCCACUGCAUUGCAGCCUGGGCAACAGAGCAAGACCCUGUCUCUA
ensembl:misc_RNA Metazoa_SRP Metazoan signal recognition particle RNA